rnacentral:rRNA from 1 species
UAAACCAGGAUUAGAUACCCUAUUAUAUUUAAACAAAUUGGGUAGUAUUAUUAAUAAAAACCUUUAUACUUUGGCGGCAUUUUAUCUUAUUAGAGGAAUAUGUUCAUUAAUCGAAACCACACGAUAGUUUUUACUUACUAUAAAAUUUUAUAUACCCCCGUCUAAAGAAUUUAUUUAAAAUUUUUAUUCCAAAUUAUAUUAAAAAAAGUUAGGUAAAGGUGUAGACUAUUAGUAAGAUUAAAUGUAUUACAUUAAAAAAAAUUUAAGGAUAAAACAGUUAACUGUUUAUUAAAAGAGGAUUUAUAAGUAAUUUACUUUUAAUAAAAANUAAUGAAUAAGAAAAUAAAUGUGCACAUAUCGCCCGUCACUCUCA